rnacentral:rRNA from 1 species
UACAGAGGUCUCAAGCGUUGUUCGGAUUCAUUGGGCGUAAAGGGCGCGUAGGCGGUUUGUUAAGUCGGCUGUGAAAGCCCGGGGCUCAACCCCGGAGGGUCAGCCGAUACUGGCAGGCUAGAGUACGGAAGAGGUAGCUGGAAUUCCCGGUGUAGCGGUGAAAUGCGUAGAUAUCGAGAGGAACACCUGCGGCGAAGGCGGGUUGCUGGGCCGACACUGACGCUGAUGCGCGAAAGCCAGGGGAGCGAACGGG